GGCAGAGCGUGAGUGGAGGGGUGUGAGUUACACAUUUCUGUGAUGUUAGAUUUCCUCUCCUCCCUGUCAUUCUCUUCCCCCUCCUCUAUUUUCUCUCUCUCUCUCUCUUUUUUUUUUUUUUAACAAUGAGUCUCUUAAUUUUGUCAUCAGAUAGAUGUACAAGGACAAUACAUAAAAAUAGAAAUAAUAUCUGGGAAGCAGUGGGCACGUUAUUGGCACACAAGAGUGGCGAUGGCUGUUCUUACCGUUUCUUCUCAUUUCUGGCAGGAAUGAAUCACUUACUUCCAACGUUUCCUAAACAGGCAAUGGGCUCCUGGGCCCCGUCUCACUCGGGAGGGCCUUUCCUCUGUCCCAUCAUUCUGAGGGUUUCUGGAAGAUGGAGUCCUGCACUGUUGCCCAGGCUGGAGUGCAGUGGCAUGAUUUCAGCUCACUGCAACCUCCGCCUCCCAGGUUCAAGCGAUUCUCCUGCCUCAGCCUCCUGAGUAGCUACAAUUAGAGCCCGAGAGAAAAGCCCCAUGUUAUCCCAAUUUCAUAGAUGGGCAAACUGAGGCUUGAAGACACUCUGCAGCCUCCAAGGGCUGUUGUCUUCAUUCCUCCAACAGAGUGGGAAUGAGACGGUGCAGAGUCUGGAAUGUCUGGGCAGAAGGAAGAGCCGGAGCAAAGGCCUGGAGCUUGGAGGGCGCUGUCGGGGGUGGUGGGGGGCGGGGGCGGUGUCCCAUGGUAGGGUUUCGUAUCAGCUCUGCCAUUUCUUGGCUGCGUGACCUCUGGCACCCUACUGGGCCUCUUUGAUCCCAGACUACAUGUAGAAUGGGUGUGUGAGAAGAAAACCUUCUGGAGCAGGGUGUUGAGGAGAGAACAGUGCCUGGCACAUCAUAAUAAUAAUGCUGAAUAGAUGUUAUUUUCAUUUCUAACCACUUCCUCCAGGAAGCCCAUCCUGACCUCCUCUGGCUCCCGAGGUCACCUGGACUUGCCCCAUCACAGACCUUGCCACAGUGUGAGAAACUGCCUCAUCCACAUACCAGCUUCUCACCCCCACCCAGACCCUCUGAUUGGGACUCCCUUGAGGGCUGUGUCCCCAGAGCCCAGAAAGAGUCCAGCACAGAGCAGCUGAGGGGGUAGAUGCUGGUGAACAGUGCCACUGAGCCCCUGCUACUCAGCAAGCCCUUCACACACGGAUCCUUCAUUUAGUGUCUUUCUUCUCCUAGAUAGAACCUUGGCUUUGCCAAGACCAGCAUAGUUGCUGCUCAAGAAACUAUGUGAAGAAAUCGUCGAGAUGAACCAGCACUCAGGGGAAGGGAGGCUUUCUGAGGACGGGGCCUUAGCAGGUGGAGCUCCUGGGAUAAUAAGAAAGAUACCCGGAUGCGGUGGCUCACACCUGGAAUCCCAGCACUUCGGGAGGCCAAGGCAGGCAGAUCACUUGAGGCCAGGAGUUCAAGACCAGUCUGGCCAACAUGAUAAAACCCCGUCUCUACUAAAAAUACAAAAAAUUAGCUGGGCAUGGUAGUGCGAGCCUGUAGUCCCAGCUUCUCGGGAGGCUGAGGCUGGAGGAUCAAUGAUUGAACCCAGGAGGUGGAGGUUGUAGUGAGGUGAGAUCGUGCCACUGCACUCCAGGCUGGGCAACAGAGUGAGACUCUGUCUCCAGAAAGAAAGACAACAAUAAUCAGUAGUCUUUACUCUGCUCCAGGCGCCAGGCUGAGUCUUCUCAGUUCCUCUCCCCAGCAGGUUAGUUCUAUUAUUGUUUCCAUUUCACAGAUGGGAAAAUCAAGGCACAGGGAGGUGAGGUGGUUUACUCCAGGUCACACAAUCAGUGAGAGGAAGAGCCAGGAUCAAAGCCAAGCCUGUUUGACUGAGGAGCCUGUCCUGAGACCUUAACCACACACCAAGCCCUCCCUAGAAGGAAGAUGCCGCUACUGGACACAUUUUGCAGAUGGAAACCAAGGCUCUGAGAGUCAGAACGGCCUGCCCACGUCUGGACACAGAAACUGAGGUUGAGCAGGAGAUGCUCGAGGCGGGGUUCCUGUCUCCUAGGCCAGCACCCUGAAGGAGGGGUGGGAGACCGCCCCCCACGCCCCAAGCUAUCCCCUGCUUGUUGGAGUUUCUGGUCAAUACCCUGGUCUCUGUUACCCAGCCCAGCACCCAAGACACUGCCUCUUCCGCCUGCCUGGAGUCUCGGGUCUCGGGUGCCUUCACAAUCGGAUUCUCUGUCUCCGCAGCUGCUUUCCAUUUGAGCUCUUUGUGCUGAAAAUAAAAAAAAAAUGAAAAGAAAACUUGGCACCGCCCCUCUGCUUUGCUUCCUGGGGAGGAAGGAGGAUCCCAGCUACUUCUUUCCCUCAUUCUGGGGCCCAGAGAUACCCACAGCCUGCCCAAGGUCACACAGCAGGGUCGGAGCCAGGACCCUGGCCUUAGACUCCCUUUCCAGUGCUCUACCCCCUCUGGCCACUGCCUCUGCUAUUCCUGGCUCUUCCUCUAGGCCCGUGAGGAGCAGAUGAAUUAGGAUGAAUGUUCCUGCACCCUACUACACGCUGGGCACUCUGCCACCUUGAGCUCACAAAACCCUCAUGACGGCCCUGUGAGGUCCUGUCACCCCAUUUAACCAACGAGGAAGCUGAGACUCAGAGAGGGGAAGCGCCCAAGAUCACACAGCCGGGACGUGGCAGAGCUGGGGUUCCAGCUCCUGUUCCCAUUGCUGGACAGCUGCCACAUCUGGCACCCAAUUUAGGACCCUGUGGGGAGGCCCAAGCCCCGGGGGUGGCGGGGGUUCCUAGAGGGAAGUGGCAAGGCCAGGACCCUGGAGCUGAGCCAGGCAUUGUCCUGGUACUAUGGAGCAAUGAACAAACAAGACAAAAAUGCCCCCAUCACCUUUGGAGCCCACAUCUCUUCGGAGCUGCCCUACAUUUCCUGAGUAGGAAACUGAGGCUCUGAGAGAUGAAGCUACUUGCCAACGCCACGCAGCUCAGCUACAUCCCACUGAACAUCACCCUGUUCCCUGGGGACUUAGCACGUAUCCUAGAAAUUAACCUGCUGGUUGAUCCUGUUUCUUGUCUGUCUCUUUCCAGUGGAAUGUCACCAUCGCCCAGGUCCUCACAGCACCUCCUGCAAACAGACCUCCGACCCAAGCCCUUCCUUCUGCCUCCACUGCCACCAUUGCUGCUCAUCUCUGCUGGCACAGAAGUCUCUUCCCUGGUCCUCCAGAAAUCCCCCCUCCAUAUUCAGCGAGAGGGAGCUAUUCAAACUGCGGGCUAGCCCACAUCAGUCCCCGGCAAAGUCCUCUCUAAGGGAUCCCGUUGCUUGGAGAAUAAACCCUCGGAUUCCUUCUUUGGCUCUCGGGGCCUCCUCUCUGACCUCCCUCUGUCUCCUCUCCCAGCCUUCCUCCUCACUUACCCUCCAGCCACCCUGGCUUCCUCCUUGCUCCUGAAACAGCCUGAGGCCCACACUGCCCCGGGCCCUUUGCACUGGCUGUUCCCUCUACCUGGAACACUUCUCCCAGGCUUCCACAGGGCUCCCUCCCGCACUUCCUUCGGGUGCCCACCUGGGAAGCGUUUCCUAACCGCCCCCCACUUCCUUCUGAGCACGGUAGGGUCUUUCUACCUGGUAUAUGAGGGCAGUCUGCUGUGUUCUCUGUGUGCCCCGGUGCCAUCACAGUGUGUGGCAGAUGGUAAGUGCUCGACACACAUCGGCUGACUGCCUGAAUGAACAACUCUAUGAGCCGAUGGCAGAUAAGGACACUGAGGUCCUCUGGGGUAGGUGACCAGCCCAAGGCCACACAGCUGGUUUGAAAUUAGGCCAGGAGAGGAGCCCGGGUUGGUCACAUCCUGGAGCUGGCGUCUUGGAAACUGCAUCAGGAGAAUAACAAAGAUGAGACGCAGGCUCUAACAAGUGGAUACCAGUGACUCUCGCCCCGCCAGCCCCAGCCCUGCGGCCUUGGGCCCUUCCAGGAGUCAUGGUCUGCCUGCCUGGGGCAUUCCAGGCUUUAGCCCAGGUCCUGCGCUUUCUAUUUUGAGCCUCUUAGUCCUGAGGACUGUGUGUUCCCAGCAGGCGGCGCGGGCCAGAGGCUGAGCCUGGGUGUGGCUGUCACCCUAUCUGGGGCCAGGAACCCAGAUUCCCAGGCCCUUAACCUAUUGGCUGCUGAGGGCUCUGGCAUAAGCCCUGUUCCCUGCUUGAUUGUCUUCCCUUCAAGCCCCUGCCCUGGUGUCUUCCAGGCAUGGUAUCAGCCCAUCUCACCUUGGAUUAUAUCCCUGUUUGGCCCCAUUUGAAUCCUGGCUCUGCCCCUUUCCAGCACUGUGACCUUGGGCAAGUCACUUCAUCUCUCUGGGUCUCAGUUUCUUCAUCUGGGAAAUGGGGACAAUAAGAGUACCUGUCUUUGGCCAUGUGUGGUGACUCACGCCUGUCAUCCCAGCGCUUUGGGAAGCCGAGACGAGAGAAUUGCUUAAGACCAAGAGUUUGAGAUCAGCCUGGGCAACAUAGUGAGACCCCCGUCUCUACAAAAUUUUAAAAAGUUAGCUGGGCAUGGUGGUGUGCGCCUGUAGUCCCAGCUGUUCUGGAGGCUGAAGCGGGAGGAUUGCUUGAGCCCAGGAGUUUGAGGCUGCAGUGAGCUAUGAUUACGCCCCUGCACAUUAGCCUGGGUGAUAGAAUGAGGCCCCAUCUCUAAAAAUAACAAUACUAAUAAUAAAUAAAAAUGAAAACGAGCACCUGUCUUCUGGGGUUUCAGAGGAGAUUCAAUGUGAUGAAAUUGAUGAGAGUGCCCUGCACGGAGCUGGAAACUCAGAAAUCCUCGAUAAUGAGUUCCCCCACCAUCAGCAGCUGGUUUAAAUAUAAAAACUGUCAUGGCCUCUGGAGAAACGACAAGAGUUUGAAGGAGCUUCCCUGCACUGGCCACCGUACACCCUACACCCUUACUUCCUCCCCUCAACUUGCCUGGAUUUAUCGACCCCCACUACCCCACUGGUUGCCUUCUCUCCACCUGGCACAUUCCGUAUGAAUUUGCUUGUUGGUUUCUUGCCUAUCUCCCCAGUAGAACACUGGCUCCAUCAGGACAGGAACUUUUGUCUACCUUAUGCACCUAGUGCAAUGCCUGGCACACAGUCAGUGCUCAACAAAUGUUUGUUAAAAGAACCAAUAAAUGAAUAGCGAUCUGUCUGGGGAGAGGAGCCCUGAGCUCACCUCCCUCCCCAAGCCCAGGGCUCUCGGGUGCUUGUUGGUGUCAGACCCAGGUCCCCUCUCAUCAAGCAGCCAAUAAAACUGCCCUGGUUGGCGUUCUCAUUUCACAGAUGGAGAGACUGAGCCCAGAGAGGGAGAGUCGCCUGUCUGAUGUCACACAGAGGUCGGCACCUGGGCUGGGAUUCCAGCCCAGGAUCAUGUGGGGUGGGGGACAGUGGAUCAAUCUUUUCCUGGAAGGAGUCAAUGGUGAUGGUGGGAACGGGUCAGGGGUGCUGGCAAGGAGGUUCCAAGGCCCCCAGGAGGGAGGGAGGCAUGGGAGAUGAGUUAGUCCCUCUUGAGUUCCAUCUCUCUCUGUGUCUCUCUGUUUCUGCCUCUUUCUGUGUCCUUGUAUUUCUCGGUCCCUGUCUUCGUCUCUCUUUCUCUCUUCCUUGUGUAUCUGACUCACUACCCAGGAGGGGAUGCAGGCACACACCCCUGGCUUGGGGGCUGGAGUUGGGGCCAAUGAGGGGAUUGACAUCUGGGGUUGA